GACGAGCGCUGGCGGCGUGCUUAACACAUGCAAGUCGAACGGAAAGGCCCUGCUUUUGUGGGGUGCUCGAGUGGCGAACGGGUGAGUAACACGUGAGUAACCUGCCCUUGACUUUGGGAUAACUUCAGGAAACUGGGGCUAAUACCGGAUAGGAGCUCCUGCUGCAUGGUGGGGGUUGGAAAGUUUCGGCGGUUGGGGAUGGACUCGCGGCUUAUCAGCUUGUUGGUGGGGUAGUGGCUUACCAAGGCUUUGACGGGUAGCCGGCCUGAGAGGGUGACCGGCCACAUUGGGACUGAGAUACGGCCCAGACUCCUACGGGAGGCAGCAGUGGGGAAUAUUGCACAAUGGGCGGAAGCCUGAUGCAGCAACGCCGCGUGCGGGAUGAAGGCCUUCGGGUUGUAAACCGCUUUCGCCUGUGACGAAGCGUGAGUGACGGUAAUGGGUAAAGAAGCACCGGCUAACUACGUG
rnacentral:rRNA from 1 species